rnacentral:rRNA from 1 species
GAUGAACGCUGGCGGCGUGCCUAAUACAUGCAAGUCGAGCGAACAGACGAGGAGCUUGCUCCUCUGACGUUAGCGGCGGACGGGUGAGUAACACGUGGAUAACCUACCUAUAAGACUGGGAUAACUUCGGGAAACCGGAGCUAAUACCGGAUAAUAUAUUGAACCGCAUGGUUCAAUAGUGAAAGACGGUUUUGCUGUCACUUAUAGAUGGAUCCGCGCCGCAUUAGCUAGUUGGUAAGGUGACGGCUUACCAAGGCAACGAUGCGUAGCCGACCUGAGAGGGUGAUCGGCCACACUGGAACUGAGACACGGUCCAGACUCCUACGGGAGGCAGCAGUAGGGAAUCUUCCGCAAUGGGCGAAAGCCUGACGGAGCAACGCCGCGUGAGUGAUGAAGGUCUUCGGAUCGUAAAACUCUGUUAUUAGGAAAGAACAAAUGUGUAAGUAACUAUGCACGUCUUGACGGUACCUAAUCAGAAAGCCACGGCUAACUACGUG